rnacentral:rRNA from 1 species
CCUACGGGAGGCAGCAGUGAGGAAUAUUGGUCAAUGGGCGUAAGCCUGAACCAGCCAAGUCGCGUGAGGGAUGACGGCCCUACGGAUUGUAAACUUCUUUUAUAAGGGAAUAAAGUGCGGCACGUGUGCCGUUUUGUAUGUACUUUAUGAAUAAGGAUCGGCUAACUCCGUGCCAGCAGCCGCGGUAAUACGGAGGAUCCGAGCGUUAUCCGGAUUUAUUGGGUUUAAAGGGAGCGUAGAUGGGUUGUUAAGUCAGUUGUGAAAGUUUGCGGCUCAACCGUAAAAUUGCAAUUGAUACUGGCAGGCUUGAGUACAGUUGAGGCAGGCGGAAUGCGUGGUGUAGCGGUGAAAUGCUUAGAUAUCACGCAGAACCCCGAUUGCGAAGGCAGCUUACGAAGC